rnacentral:rRNA from 1 species
GCUAACUUCGUGCCAGCAGCCGCGGUAAUACGAAGGGGGCUAGCGUUGUUCGGAAUUACUGGGCGUAAAGCGCACGUAGGCGGAUAUUUAAGUCAGGGGUGAAAUCCCGCAGCUCAACUGCGGAACUGCCUUUGAUACUGGGUAUCUCGAGUAUGGAAGAGGUGAGUGGAAUUCCGAGUGUAGAGGUGAAAUUCGUAGAUAUUCGGAGGAACACCAGUGGCGAAGGCGGCUCACUGGUCCAUUACUGACGCUGAGGUGCGAAAGCGUGGGGAGCAAACAGGAUUAGAUACCCUAGUAGUC